GCAGGGCGAUAGCAUGCGAAGUGGCCCAGCGGGGCGGUUGCUGGCGGGCGGGGGGCGCCCGAGGUGGGAGAGGGUGGGGUCGGGCUGCUUAGAAAGCCCGAGCGUCCGCAGGGCCCACGGCCGGACCGCCAGCCGUAGCCGCCGCCGCGCCUCCAGCGUCUGCAGAGGCUUUCUUUGCUCUGCUCUCCAACACCUUCUCGUAUCUGGAGGAGGGGCACAUUGGAGGAUCCUAAAAAGUUUGAAAUUUUAUAACAUUCAAGAAGCACAUGAAAGAGGCCUCUCUCAUCAAGUAUUCUUGAUUAAGUCACGAAAAUGGAAUUGAAGCUUGUUCUUCCCCUUCAUAUGAAGCCCUCGUUUGGAGUAUCCACCCCUUUUGGCCUGGGCACUGACUGUCUUUAACUGGAAAAACAUCUCACUUUGCAAGUGACUAGAACUGAGUCACCCCACGUGAGCAAAAUCAGCCCUUAAAGAAAGGGCAACAUCAUUAAGUUCUUUCACCAGGAUAUUGUGCCUGCAGGACUUAAAAUGAUUUGAGACAGUUCACUCCUUUGUCCACCCACAAAAUCAUUUGUUAUUUUUAACCUUCAUUGUACAUUACUUUUCUUUAUAUGUUCUAAUGCAUGUUUAAAAGAAAAAUUCUGUAUGUAUAGCUGUGAAUAUUCAUUAAUGCAUUUCAUUUAUUCUGACAAAUUAGGAAGGUGGGCAUCUCUGAAUUUGUGGGCAGGCUGAAUUAAAGAUAACUUUCAAAUAAAUGUGGCCUUUAUUCUUUAAACUACA
rnacentral:lncRNA from 1 species